UUAUGUUGGACAGUUUGUUAGUUAACCGUAAAUAAGUCUUGAUUUGUACUCAAGAGUGGAGCAAGGCCCUAGGGAACAGAGAUUGACGCAUCGUGAGCGAAGAACAGACGCGAUGGAUGGUUAGGCUGCUUGACUCUCGGCUGUACGACUCUCGGCAUGUUAGGACUGGCAAAGUUCCGAAUUUGUCGCGGUGUGGUGUACGCUUCUGUGCUCGUCAAGUGCCGUCAUAGCGCGGGGAUGUUUGAACGGAAUGUGUCCCUUCGUCUACAAAACUCUGCACGCUGCGGCAUCGAAGAAGUCCUGUGUACGGGUGCACGUAUGCGCUUGGAUACGGGAUAGCCUGCCCUCAACGGAUGUUCAACAGUGUACGCACGCUGCGCGUACGCGUACGUAUGAGACUAGUUGCUGGUGUCCUGCUGGAGCUGAGAAGAGAUCUGCUGCCUGCCAUGACGCCAUGUCUCUCAAGUUACUGCAAUAUUGUUGCCUUCAAACCUGUCGAGACAAGGUUUCUUUACAUGGCCAUGGCGCUCAAGGAAGAAACCGAGACUGCAGACUGCCAACGUUCAUUCCUGUUCCGGCAAAGACGGGCCAGCAGUAACCAGCAGGGUUUUACAAAGUGAACUCAUCACAGCUUGAGCCACUCCAUGCCACAAGCAGUUGCUCCUCGAGCCACCGUGCAAAGGUUCCUUGGGGCACAAGUCCAACUCAGCGCCACCACCUUUCUUCUGCAGUUUUUCUACCUACUUAGCUAACCAGCAGCAAGUUUAUCCUUGCAAGGCAUGUGGGAACAGCUUUCACCAGGAAACAGUGCAAGACGAGUGGUCGAAGAAAAUAAAAUUGCUUCUGUGAUCUAAAGUACUUGACGAAUAAAAUUUUGCACUUAUUUGUAUAUAUGUCGUGCAAUUCAUUCAUAUCACAAAAGGCAAAGUGUUUGAUCUUUUGAGCUAUUUCAAUGUGUUGGCCAGACAGUUUUCUCCAUAGCUACCUGCUGCUUCUGCGAUGAGCUGCAUUCAUGACAUUUUCAUUAAAGGAUAUGUACUAUCGGGGACAAAAGUGCCCAGGACGUGCGAGUGUCGACCAAAUUGCAUCUCUGCACUAUCAGCCGCUAUCAUCUGCGUUGCAGACCACUUUCCGAAUGCAAAUGUUAGCGUGGCUGAUCCCAGCAGAAAGUGCACCAAUAAAAUUCGGUCGACAUUCGCACAUUUUGGGCACUUCUGUCCCCGAUAAUACAUUCUCUAAACAAUCAAUAUGCUCUGUAAAACGUAAUACAGGAAACACCUGUAUUUUAACGAUUGGACCGUAUAGUACAGAUUUAGCAUACGGAGCCUUUUUAUUUCUGAGUACGGAAACACCUGUAUGUUAACGGUUGGACCGUAUAGUACAGAUUUAGCAUACAGAGUCUUUCGUUUUCUGGAUACGGAAACACCUGUAUUUUAACGGUUGGACCGUAUAGUACAAAUUCAGCAUACGGAGCCUUUCGUUUCCUGGAUACGAAAACACCUGUAUUUUAACGGUUGGACCGUAUACUACAGAUUCAACAUACAGCGCCUUCCGUUUUCUGAAUACGGAAAGCACCUGUACAUUAACGGUCGAACCAUAUGAUUCAGCAUACAGAGUCUUCCGUUUUCUGAAUAUGUAAGCACUCGUAUUUUGUAAUACGGUGUCUAUUUUUACGGUUGUCCGUUCUACGGAAAUGACCGUUCUUUACUUACGGAAAGUGUUCGGUCACAAAUUACCAGCAGA